CCCGUGCAAGACAGACUCGGCCUCCGCUUGUGGUGCCGAAGAAGCCCUAGAUUCGGCGGCGAAGCCCUCAACGACUUGCCCUGCUGCAUCGCGUACAAUUCCGGCGAUAGAACAAGUAAACGCACCUGGAACCCAUGACGCAUCAACGUUCAUCUUGAUCUCCCAUCUGUUCGGUGGCUUCCAGCGAACCGCUCCAGUAGAUCCGCUGGUUUUGGGGGCUGUGCUCUGAAAAUCCAAUCGUUCCGGGCCUUCCAGAUCUGCCAUAGAACCAAGCCGAUGAACUCCCGUGCAGAGAUUUUCUCUGGUGGGUAUAGCAUUCUGACAGAGACUCCAGAGAAAGGUUCUAAUUUUCGGG